rnacentral:tRNA from 1 species
GGAGGAGUGGCCGAGCGGUUGAAGGCGGCAGUCUUGAAAACUGUUGUGCGGCAACGUACCGUGGGUUCGAAUCCUACCUCCUCCGCCA